CUACAGGUGGUGCAGUGGUUACCACUCUCAUCUUGGAACUGAAGGCUCUGGGUUUGAAUCCCACCUCCUGCUGU
rnacentral:tRNA from 1 species